GACGAACGCUGGCGGCGUGCUUAACACAUGCAAGUCGAACGAAGUGGCGAACGGGUGAGUAACGCGUAAUCAACCUGCCCUUCAGAGGGGGACAACAGUUGGAAACGACUGCUAAUACCGCAUACUGAAGGAGGGGAUGGCGUCUGAUUAGCUAGUUGGGGGGGUAACGGCCCACCAAGGCGAUGAUCAGUAGCCGGGCUUGGAGGGUGAACGGCCCCAUUGGGACUGGGGCACGGCCCCGACUCCUUCGGGAGGCAGCAGGGGGGGAUCUUCCGCAAUGGACGAAAGUCUGACGGAGCAACGCCGCGUGAGUGAUGACGGCCUUCGGGUUGUAAAGCUCUGUUAAUCGGGACGCGGUACCGGAAUAGAAAGCCACGGCUAACUCCGUGCCAGCAGCCGCGGUAAUAC
rnacentral:rRNA from 1 species